rnacentral:miRNA from 1 species
GGCUAUGCCUCAUCUAGUCAAU